AAAAGUCACAUCCUUAGGGGUGCAGGUGGAAUGGUGAGAGUGACUACCAUCACAUGAAUGCCAAACAGCUACAGAACACUUUUAGUUAGCUCACAGAUGGGCAUAGUUCAGAAGCUUCUCUGAAUUAUGCCCAUCUGUGUUGUAGAUCUGGAAGGAUGAGAUUGCAUGUGCUGUUUUCCAAAUACCUGGGUCUCUUAUCAUAGAGGAACCAAAAAGUCUGAAGCCCUGCAUUUGGUUGGGCUAUUUAGCAAGGAUCCCGGGAAAAUAAGUUGGUAAAUACAGUCUGGGGUGCUGUAUAAGCAAGCAGUUUCACUUUUAAUCAGCUAGAGCUUAUUUCAGGCUGGCAUUACCCAUCCUAGAUACAGCUGGGUGUUCUGGUAGUGGCUCCAGGACCCACCUGGACAUCUGAAUCCUCACGAGCAAAACAGUGUCCCUGGAGUUUUCAAGAUAAGGAAAAUCUAGCAGUGGUUCCAAUGAGUACAGGGACAAAUGACUGAGGACUUUUAAAGAUCAUCUGAGGACUUUUUAAGGUCAUCUAAAGGUACAUGCAAAGACUAGGUUUUCCUUGUGAAUGUGCUUUUAAUGUUCAUAGGCUUGUUGCAGUGCUGCCAACAGUGUUAAAAAUAACAGAGCAAGACUGACUUUGAUGACAGAAAAGCAACAUUUUCAUUGCAAAAGUCGAUUUCUGAUUCUGCAGUGAUCUGUUUAAGAAGACGCAUGAAGAAGAUAAGCAGGACCUGCAUUAAAUUUUGGAAGCUGGUAAAAAGAGUUUCUGUUUCUGUCUGCAGAGUAAAAAACUGGAAAUACAGAAGAGUGCCAGGAGGCAGGACAUUGUACUGGAUCUCAUUUCUCCUACUGAAGAAGUCAGUCAGACCAUAUGCCCAGAGAUCAUGAGAACUCAGAGCUGGGGAAAUGACAAGAAAAAUUAUUCUGAAGGACUUUUGGCUUCUCCAACUCCUGCCUUGGAUAUUCCAGCUUCCAAUGAAAAUCAGACACCCUCUGGCUCCAGACUAGUAACUCCCCACUGUUUUCUCUAACCACUAAGAGGUCUAGCAUGUACAAUUUUGAGCAAAGAAAGAAGGGAAGAAAGAAUGUGUACUGUCGCUCACCUUCUAGCCAAUAGACUACAAAGGCAUAGCUUGCCAGGAUAUUCACUUUCCUCCUGAGUGUGAUUUAUUUUUCAUGUGUAUCUGAUGUUGCCUCUUCCUUGGAUGUGGUUGGAACCUGCAGUAUCUUAUCAGCAAAAGGUUUGGCUCACUCUGGUAUACGAUUAGCAUUGUGCUUUCUUUGGGCCUUUUUAAAACUGCAACCUGAACCUGUUCACCAACCCUUUAUUAACAUGUGUUUUAUGGUACAGGUGUAAUAAUUAAUCCAAAUGGUUAGCAGAUGUGGCUGUCUAUCUCUGGGCAUAUCAGUUCCUACACACCACCCCUUAAUCAAGCAGUGCCCAAGCAAUGCCAAAGUAAAUGAAAGAAAAUAAAUUCCACCGAGAUAUUUAUGAGGGCCACCUGGAUAGGGAAAUACCUUGGCCUUUGCUGGUCCCCUGCUCCAGGUGGCUACAAAAGACUGAAGUCCCUCACUAUAUACAAGUCAAAUCAAUCUUGCAGGGAGCUGAAAAUGAAAAGCUGUGCUUGGCUCCCUAGUUUAACAAUAAUGAAAUUUUGUACAUGUGCUCUAAGGAAGUCUUCCCAUUUCACCCUAUUUAUUUGAAAUUUCCCUUCUUUUUACCUGUGCCAGGACCUGAUGGACUUCACAUAAUUCAGGUUGCUGGUUCCUUCCUCUGUUUUUGGCAAGACAAAGCUAAGGAUCUUCUUUGUGUUAUCAGCUGGACUCCGGGUGUUGCUUUGCAAAUCACGAAGGGAGAUGCCAGAUUUUUACAUUCCUGCCAUUUCCACCUUUUUUCCCCAAUUAUUUAUAGUCUUCACAUGGGUAAUUCCUGGCAGAUUUUCAUCACAUUCAGCUUCCACUGGGACAAAAGGCUUAGCAUGUGAAGGGGUGGUUGUUCCAGCUGCCUCAGGCGGAGCCCAUCCUUGGUGGAAGCUGCAGCCUCAGCCUCCUUACAGCAUCAUGGCAAAAUGGACCUCCCACCCCAUGGGAAACUUCCACACAUCUGCUGCAUCGCAUCCAGGUGCUACCCUCCAACAACCACCCUGAGAACACCAUGCAGGAAAACCCAGGUGUCCGGGGCUGCAUCAAGCACAGAGUGGCCAGCAGAUUGAGGUGGGUGAUUCUGCCUCUCUGCUUGGCACUUGUGAUAACCCAGCUGGAUAACCAGCACCCAGCUCUGUGGGCCUCAGCUCAGGAAAGACAUGGACUGGCUGGAGCGAAUCAUGAGGGGAGCCACAAAGAUGGGUAGAGGGCUGGUGUCCCUGCCAUGACAAGGAGGUUGAAACUAGAUGACUUUGAAGUCCCCUACAACCCCAAGCAUUAGAUGAUUCCAUGGGGUAGGGGGAUAGGUUGACCCCAGCUGGACAUUGCAAUCCCCCCCCCGCCCCCCAGUCACCGUGUCACUCCCUCUUCAGCCAGAUGGGAGAGAGGAAAUACAAUGGAAGGCUGAUGGACUGAGAUAAGGACAAGGAGGGGCCACCCACCAGUUACCAUCACAAGGAAAACAUACUUCAUUUAGGGAAGUUGGUUGAGUUUACUACUAAUCAAAUCAAGAGUAGAACAUCAAGAAAUAAAACAAAAUCUUAAAACCACCUUCUCUCCACCUCUUUCUUUUUCCCAGAUUUCAUUUUACUUCUGAUUUUGUCCAUCUCCUGCCUAAGAGCAGCUCAGGAGAAUGGGGAGAAGAGAUCCAGGUUAAAGAAUCGUAGAGUGGUGGGAGUUGAAAGGGACCUUAAAGAUCACUUAGCUCCAACCCCACUGCCGUGGGCUGGGACACCUUCCAUUACAGCAGGCUGCUCAGAGCCACAUCCAGCCUGAUUCUGAACACUUUGAGGGUUGGGGCAGCCACAACUUCUCAUCCAGAGAUGGGGAUUUCUCAGCCUCUGUGGGCAGGUCAGUCCAUCACACAUUGUUCUCUGCUGUUCCUUCCUCCUCAGGGGGAUAACUCCUCAUGCUCUCCCCCUGCUCCAGACAUGGGAGACAGUCCUCCACAAAUUUCUCCAGUGUGAGUCCUUCCUCAAGAAGUGCUCCAGCGUGGGUGCUUUCCACAGCGUGCAGUCCCUCCAGCACAGAAUGCUCCAGCAUGGGUCCCCCUUGGGGUCCAGGUCCUACCAACAAAUCUGGUGCAAUGGAGGCUUUUCUCUCCAUUGCCUUCUCAGUGAAUGAGAAGCAGUCAAUGCUGGGGAAAAGCUGUGCAUGACAGAAGAAAUCAUCUGACAUCCUUAUUAGUACCUGUCAGUCCUUUUCAUCCAUGUUAUAAAAAAAUGAAGUUAUCAGUGCAGCUAGUUCCAUCACAGGCAUUGCUUAGUGCUUGACAACUAUGAUGCCAGGCAACAUAGGUAAAAUUGUGUGCCAAAUGAAAAAACAUAAUUAAAUCAAACCUGAUAAUAGGCAUGUACCUUGCACUUUGAACAGGUAAGCUCAUUUCCUAAUCAACAUUUAUAGGAAAAAGGGUAAAAAAUAUAGGUUGUUUUUUAUCUAUUUGGCAAGUUUUACCUAGUUAGCCUGUAUACUAACUGCUGCCAUAGAUGGAAAGAUGAAACAGGUGGAUCUCUAGAGUUAAGCUUAAUGCACUGAUUAUCCUGAUGUAGUUUAAAUUUUUAUUGAAAACUUACAGGCAAACAGAAGGAAUAUUAAAACCUUUUUCUGUUUGACCUAUUACUGUUUAAAUUUUCCCACUCUUCAUUCAUGCUGGAGAGAAAUUGCUGAACAAAACCAAGCACAUGAUUCAUGAUUAAAUCCGUGAGACCUACUAGCUAUCAGCUUUCCAUCAACCACUCUGAAACUCUAUGCCAAGAAGUGUCACAGUCUGCUUAGAACAGCAGUGGGGCCAGCCUCAACCAAAUGGCAGCAGCAAAAAACUCCCAAACUAUGCUGAUUUCGUAACAUAUCUCCCCAUAUUUUCAUCCCUGCUAUGCAAGGUCUGAAUGUUGGAAUGAAUUGUCUUUGAUGACAUGGAGGUUAAUAACCCCAGGAGUCUGGAGUCUCCUCUUUUCUUCUUAAAGAGGUUUUGGAAUAUGGAUGUGCACAGAAGUGUGUUAAAUGGAUUAUGCUUCCAUUAUUUUAACUUGUUUAUUUGCAACAUGAGAACAGCAUGAAGUAAACACCUGGGAAGUUUCAACUGGAAAAGUUCAAAUGUUCUUUGGUUAUGAAGGCACAAAAAUAGUAUCUUUUUAGAACAAGCAUAUAUAUAUAUAUAAAACCAAACCUAAAAACAAUUCAGAAAAGCCAUAUGUUGUGUAACAUGAAAACUGACAUUUUUCUUGUGGCUUCCAAAAAUAUCCACUUCUGCACCGAGACUAAUGCCUGUUACAGUUUAGCCAAAACAGGGUCAAAGCAGGUGUUUUAAGAUUAAAGUCCCAUAUCAAAUUAACUGUGAUAUUUGAUAUCUGGUAAAUACUCUGCAGAGCAAGUUGAAUAACAACCCUUAUUAUACACAACAGAUUGGAAUAAAUAAAAAUUGCAAGACAAAAAAAAGCCUCCCCUCUCUGUAAUGAAGCAUUCCCUCCACCGCCCAGUCUCAAGGGAAGAAAAAGAGAAGGAAGACCAGCGGUCAGAUGAAAUACUUUAUUGUGAAGGGAGCAUGUGUCUGGCAGCCUCAGACAUGCACAUGAAAAGUAGACUGUUGGAACCAAAGGGUUUCUCCAUAUGUUGAACUCUGAGUCUCCCAUUUCUUCCAGAAAUGAUUAGCUAAGGAUAUUUUCCACUUUUCAGUCAAAGAGAAAACAAAAUACUGCAGGGAGAUGUUAGAUGUUCCACUGGGAAAUGUACAUCUUCUUAUCUCUCUCUGUGAGUAUCUCUUCCAAUCUUUCUUUUCCACCUGCCCAGACCCUGGGCUGCUAAGCCAAGUUUCAUGGGGAUUAUAGUUUCCUGAGCCUUCCUGUUGAUCAUUUAUAAUUACUAGCAUGAGAUAGCCUUUUUUUUUCCCCUGUGCAACAUCCUCAGGAGCCUUAGAUUUAUUUAGAAGCUAUGUCAGUGGAUCAGAAAACUCCUCAGCGAAUUGUUUUCGAACUCCUGACCGUAGUGGACAUUAGUUCUUUGGUACCCUGAGGACAAAGCAUGGAUGUUGGAGGUAAGACACUUGGCACAAAAGCAACGCUUUCAGCUCAGAUGAGGUCUGUCUAUCAUGUAGGCAUGGUAGAAUACACACCAAUCACAUAGCUUCAUCAAAAUUUGUAUCUUUGCUCCAUUUACAAAGUUGUCAGUAUUGCCUCCCUUGCUUGCUGUUGCAGUUCUGAGAAGAGAAGGAGGAUGGCUAAAGGUGUGGUUGGACACUUUGCUAGUUGCUGUCUUCCUAUAUUUCUACUUGUUCUUUUUUUUUUUUCCUAGGCCCUGCUUUUCAUGCAUAUCUGUGAAAUACACUUUGCAGAAAAGAGGAGAGGGGUGGUUGUGUCUCUGGUCCCUGCACUCACCAGACAUGCUGCUCCUUAAGCGCCAAUGCAGAUGUUCCACACUGUUGAAGUUUGUGCUCUGCAUGAAAGAUGGAAAUUAUGCAAAAAUCCCUCCUUGGCCAAAGGACCACAGUAAAAAGCCUUCAAGAUGAAAGGGAGAAUUUUGGACUUUGAAAACAGGGCUGUAAAUUCUGGCAAUCUUUAAAAAUGUAAAAUAUGUACAUAUCUGUGUAAAAGCUUUCUGACAACACUUGCUUAUAAAGGGAAAGUAGAAUGACUGAAAUAAACAGAUGCCUGUCUAAAACGGAUAGGUUAAAUAGUGGAGGCUGAAACAGAGCUUCUGGUAUCAAAAACUAGUAUGUUCAAAGUGGAUUUAUGUAAAAUAGGUCUUUGCCAAGCAGCCUUGGA